AAUUUUAUGCUUGUGAAAGGGCUCCAUUGACGAUUUGGAUGCCUGCAGCUUUCCAUCCGUAUGACCAGACACAGUCUCAUCAUCUCCAUCUAUCAAGACGAGGAGGGAAUACCUGGGACAUGUGUCUACCUUUUCCCCGGUAACUGUCAGCAUCUGCUGAGUGAUGUGGACGCUUCUCCAUAUAAAGGGAAAUAGGCGCUAAUGAGAUUACAUCAGACAAGAGUGGUGAGUUGCCCUUCCCUGAAAGGAAAUUAAAUGUGUAAAAGCACUAUGAUUAAAUAGCAGCCAGAAGCCAGAAAAUAAUCCUCGGGAUCCUCGGGUGCUCCCUGACCCACAGGCUCUUCUCUGGACCUCUACAUGAAGCUAAGUGGUUUUGUCUUAACUCUUUCACAGCUCUGAAAUCUGCUUCUCCCCCAUCCUCAUGACCAUCAUAUCAGCUGAAACUCUAGUUUUGUCCUUAUUGAGCACGAGGGCACAUAGCUAACUAAUCUUUUGUUCUUCCCCAACACUAAGGAUAAUUUCUGCAGAUGAGCUCUAGCAUCUUCUGCCUGGAAUCAAAACCCAAGACAACAUUUAUUAGUUCUGUGGCUUGUAGCCUAAGUCUUUUUUUGUAAUUUUUUUUUAUUAGUUGCUCAAAACAUUACAAUGAUCUUGACAUAUCAUACAUUUGAUUCAAAUGGGGUAUGAAUUCUUAUUUUUCCAUGUGUACAGAUUGCAGUAUCACAUUGGUUAUACAGCCACGUUUAUACAUACUAAGUCUUGAUUUGCUUCUUUGUGGUUUUUUUUCACCUUUAAAUUGGGGUAAAAUUAAUAACUGGUUUAUGGAAUUUUUGCGAUAAUGUAAAAAUGUGUUAAUUUAGAAAAUGUCCUGAAGUAUAGUAUGCACUGGAUAAGUGUUUAUUGCUAUUCAUAUUUAUAGCAUGGAGUUUGGAAGUAAACUGCUUAAGCUUAAAUCCUGCUGAAAUACUUCCUAAUCGAGUUACUUUGAGCAACUUUCCUAUUCUUUAAAUGGGUCUCCUACUCAGCACCCAGGUUGACCCACAGAGUCGAUAAGAGAUCCCUAUUCUAGGUAUGCUUAGUAUCAACUUAGGUAUUGCAGUAAAGGCCUAAGGACACCAUAUUUUAAAUAUUUGAUAAAUAUUAUAAAUGCCUGUUGUAUAACAGUAAAAGCCAACACCUAUGUCACUCACCUAUUUAAAAUCUCAUAAUGAUUCCUCAUCAAACAUAGCCAUUAUUCCCAACUUGGUGAAAGAUAGGAAAACCUUGGUAAAAUGACAAAUUUCCAGGAGUUGUAGAUAUCUAAACCUCUAUGUGAGACUUCAGUAACAUGAAAAAAAUUUUGUCAUUAUUAUAUUUUAAAACAUUCGCUAGGUUAAACAGCAGACUAGACAUAGUUGAGAAAAGAAUUAAUGAAAGGGAAGACAAAUUAGAGAAAAUCACUCACAUUAUAUAUAUAAAGAGAUGAAAUAUAAAAGGAGUUAAACAACAGAAAUAACGUUCCUGAUUCAUCUAGUAUAGAGUCUACCAGGUUAAAAAAAAAUCAAAAGAAUAUUUAAAGAAAAAGUAAUUGGUAAUGUUCCAAAAUCGAAGAAAACUAUGAGGCCUCAUGGUGGAAAUGCAUUCCAAUUCUCAAGCCAUUAAAAAUAAAUUCACAGCCAGACUCAUCAGAACGAAGUUAGGGGCCAUGAAAACAAAGAGAACAUCUUUAAAGUAGAGAGAAAAGAAAAAUUAUCCACAAAGGAAACGCAACUGUGCUGACUAUAGAUACUUAAUCAUAUAGAAUAGAGAUCAGAAGAAAGCAGAUUCUCCUGCCAAUGUAAAUGCAUUAAACAAUUAUUUAUAUGUGAGAGUAAAAGAAGGAUAUUUUCUCAUGAAUAUUACAGAUUAAAGCAUUCACAAUCUCUUAUGCAAGAAAUACUAAAGAACAUGUAUCUAAGAAGUCAAAUUCGAAAGUUAAAAAUUAUGAGAAACAUUGAUAAUUUUUAAAAAUGGGUAAAUAUUUAGGCAAGUAUCAAUGAACAAAGAAGUGACUAUCAAUGAAUCUAAACAGACUUAUUAAAAAUAAAAAUACAUACCAGGUAUGCUGGACACACACAUUGGUGCAUGCCUGUAAUUCCAGCAACUGAGGAGGCUGAGGUAGGAGGAUCCUAUGUUUGAGGGCAGCCUUGGCAACUUAGCAAGAUCCUGUUUCAAAAUAAAAAAUAAAAUUAAAAUGGACUGGGAAUGUGAUUUAGUUAUAUAGCACGCCUGAGUUUAAUCCCCAGUACCAAAACAUAAUAAUAAUAAAAUAAAAAUAAAGAUUCAAAGUACUAGUCAACAAUAGCAUAAAGACAGAAGACAAAAGUAAGAGCUAAAAAGUUUUGUUCCUCUGGACAAGAAAGGAAUGCUAAUAAAUUUAGACUCUAUUCCACCAAAUAAAUGCUUGUUAACACACACAGGUAUUGCAGAACCAGGUUUUCUGGGACCUGAAGCUUAUGUAAUUUAUGGAGCUUGUAUUAUUUCCUCUUUAAGGAAAAAAAAAUGCAAAAUGUUUAAAAUUUUUCAAAUCUUACAAAAACUUAUGAGCCACGAUGUUAGGGCUUGGAAGAUGGCCACGCACAUAAGGAGCUGAGGAGUUUAAUCCUUUCCUGGCUGGAUAGUCAGCCCACCUGUAGUGCAAUUUGCAGAAGAAUCUAAAUGAAAAUGCUUAAAUCAUUUACCAACCUAGGGAGGAGACAAGGAACAAAAUAAAGAAAUGCUAUCAAACACAUAAAAUCAAAGAAAGGAGAGACAGUAAGAAAAGGAGAUUGUCAAAAACAGGAAACAUGGUAUAAAGAUCCAAAUAAACCAGUAUCUGAAGAGAAAAUUAAAGAGCUAAUUGUUCAACCUAUUAGGUUAGAGAGAGUUAGAAAAGAAUAAAUCUCAAGAAUCAGGAGUGGUGGCAUGUGCUCAUAAUCCCAGUGGCUCAGGAGGCUGAGGCAGGAGGAUCAUGAGUUCAAAGCCAGCCUCAGCAAUAGCAAGGCACUAAGCAACUCAGUGAGACCCUGUCUCUAAAUAAAGUACAAAAUAGGGCUGGGAAUGUGGCUCAGUGGUCGAGUGUCCCUGAGUUCAAUCCCUGGUAUCCUCCCCCUCAAAAAAGCAUAAAUCUAAAUAGAAGGAAAAAAUGAGAAGAUAAAAGAUACUAAUGAACUAGAGAACACAGAAAUGUUGAAGAAAAUUGAAGAAACCUGGGGUUGAUUAAUCACCAUUCCGUAUGAGUAAUGGUGACUACUGGGUAAAUUUUGCAAGCAAGGCUUCACACAUACUGGGUUCACAAAACAUGAGGAAGAGUUUGUUAAGCUUGAAAUCCUUAUAAUUUAUCCUUCUUCCCUCUCCAGGUGCAAAUUUCCAAGUGCCCUUUGAGUCAACCAACCAUAAAAAUCAUCUGUACUUGUUUCCAUUGGGUGAUAAUUUCAGACCUCAGACUGGUCCCAAAUCCUAAGGUUUGGGCUAACUUUUAUCUUUUUGACAGGCCCUGGAUAGAAGCAGUCACUUUUUCAAACUGAGCAACAAGAAUCUGGGAGUCACAGCUGUGUAGGGGUCAUGUAUCUUUGCCUGCUUCCUUGGGCUGUAUUUCACGUGUACCAAGAAUACAGGUUUGACUCUCAAAUCAUGAAUUCUUGA